rnacentral:rRNA from 1 species
UGUGUCCUACGGGGCGCAGCAGUGAGGAAUAUUGGUCAAUGGCCGGAAGGCUGAACCAGCCAAGCCGCGUGAAGGACGAAGGUGCCAAGCAUUGUAAACUUCUUUUGUCAAGGGACAAAAUCAGGCUCGAGAGCCUGACCGAGGGUACUUGAAGAAAAAGCAUCGGCUAACUCCGUGCCAGCAGCCGCGGUAAUACGGAGGAUGCGAGCGUUAUCCGGAUUUAUUGGGCUUAAAGGGUGCGUAGGCGGACUGUUAAGUCAGCGGUAAAAGCCCGGGGCUCAACCCCGGCGAGGCGUUGGAAAUGG